rnacentral:lncRNA from 1 species
CUUGAAAGCAGGAUGGCAAAUGAGGGCAUUGUGGUGUAUUCUCAGAGGGAUCUCUUCUAAUAUCUACCAGGGAUGUCUGCAGGGAAUUCCUGUUUUGCUUGCUCAGAAUUGUGUUUGCAGGAAAUUCCUUUUUUACUUUGUUAUGAGUUGUGUUUUUCAAGCUCUCCACAGUUAAACUGGCAGGCUGGAACCAGAGGCAGUCUCUUCAAGGGCUCUGCAGGCAUAUCCAUGCAGCUGUAAAGGACUUUGCUGGUGAGUUCAGACAGCGAGGUGUUUUUUCAGAAAGCACAUGAGGAGGAGAGAGCAGCACUUCACUGAACGAGCUGUACAGCCCUUGGUGCUGCAGCUCAGACCUGGAGAAGCCUUUACAGGUCCGUAUUUUUGUGAUCCUGAGAGUCAGAUGGAGACCCCUGGAGAAAAGGGCAUCUGUCUGCUCCUUGCUAAGAACAAGGUUCCAGGCAGUCUCCUAACAUGGUUCUGGGAUCAGGUUCUGCUUGGAUUUUAUUUGGCAUGUAAGUGCUCUGCUAAGAAAUCUGCAGUGUCUACAUUUAUUUUAAACACAUAUAAAGAUUUUUACUUUAGUAUAGGUACAAUAAUGUUCACAUGGAGUGUGCAGAAAUGCAACCUAAGUGCUUUUAAGGUAGUACAGAAUUUAAUAAAAUA